AGAACGAACGCUGGCGGCAUGCCUAAUACAUGCAAGUCGAACGAAGGCUUCGGCCUUAGUGGCGCACGGGUGCGUAACGCGUGGGAAUCUGCCCCUUGGUUCGGAAUAACAGUUGGAAACGACUGCUAAUACCGGAUGAUGACGAAAGUCCAAAGAUUUAUCGCCAAGGGAUGAGCCCGCGUAGGAUUAGCUAGUUGGUGAGGUAAAGGCUCACCAAGGCGACGAUCCUUAGCUGGUCUGAGAGGAUGAUCAGCCACACUGGGACUGAGACACGGCCCAGACCUCCUACGGGAGCAGCAGUAGGGAAUAUUGGAACAAGUGGGACGAAAGCCUAGACU
rnacentral:rRNA from 1 species